rnacentral:rRNA from 1 species
AUUGAACGUUGGCGGCAUGCCUUACACAUGCAAGUCGAACGGUAACAGGUCUUCGGAUGCUGACGAGUGGCGAACGGGUGAGUAAUACAUCGGAACGUGCCUAGUAGUGGGGGAUAACUACUCGAAAGAGGGGCUAAUACCGCAUGAGAUCUAUGGAUGAAAGCAGGGGAUCGCAAGACCUUGUGCUACUAGAGCGGCCGGUGGCAGAUUAGGUAGUUGGUGGGAUAAAAGCUUACCAAGCCGACGAUCUGUAGCUGGUCUGAGAGGACGAUCAGCCACACUGGGACUGAGACACGGCCCAGACUCCUACGGGAGGCAGCAGUGGGGAAUUCUGGACAAUGGGCGAAAGCCUGAUCCAGCAAUGCCGCGUGCAGGAUGAAGGCCUUCGGGUUGUAAACUGCUUUUGUACGGAACGAAAAGCCCCGGGUUAAUACCCUGGGGUCAUGACGGUACCGUAAGAAUAAGCACCGGCUAACUACGUGCCAGCCGCCGCGGUAA